UACGAAGGGGGGCUAGCGUUGCUCGGAAUCACUGGGCGUAAAGCGCACGUAGGCGGCUUCUUAAGUCAGGGGUGAAAUCCUGGAGCUCAACUCCAGAACUGCCCUUGAUACUGAGGAGCUCGAGUCCGGAAGAGGUGAGUGGAACUGCGAGUGUAGAGGUGAAAUUCGUAGAUAUUCGCAAGAACACCAGUGGCGAAGGCGGCUCACUGGUCCGGUACUGACGCUGAGGUGCGAAAGCGUGGGGAGCAAACAGG
rnacentral:rRNA from 1 species